CGACCUUUGCCACACUCUGGCCAUUACCGUCCGAUCUCGAUCGGAAUUACCAGCUCCACGGUAACGGCCUAUUUUGACGCAAAGAAGAUAAAACCCUUUUGACCAACUACUCACCGCGAUAUCUUUUUGGGAGAGAAUUCGUUUCUUUCUGAGGUGGAUAUAGUGGUCCAUCUUUUAUGGUCUACAU
rnacentral:snoRNA from 1 species